CCAGACCUACAGCUAAGGUCCCAAAAUGUGUGUUAAGUGGAAAAGGAUGUGAGAUUUCAGAGACAACUAGGAUGUUGGCUUAGAAGCAGCCAUACAUUGAAAGAGUGCGUAAUAGCUCACUAGUCGAGAGGUCUUGCGCCGAAAAUGUCCGGGGCUAAAACACACUACCGAAGCUUAGGAAUGUAUGUAAAUACAUUGGUAGAGGAGCAUUGUUAACUGGAUGAAGCUGUACCGAAAGGAGCAGUGGACGGUUAAGAAGAGAGAAUGCCGGAAUGAGUAGCGAGAGGAAGGUGAGAAUCCUUCCGGCCGAAUAUCUAAGGUUUCCAGAGUAAAGCUGAUCUGCUCUGGGUAAGUCGGGGCCUAAGGCGAGGCUGAAAAGCGUAGUCGAUGGACAACAGGUUGAAAUUCCUGUACUACGAUAUAACAGAACUGUGGGGACGCAGAGGGAAAGCACAAGCCGGGAAUGGAAAAACCGGUUCAAGCAGAAUAGGAGUCGCAUUGGCAAAUCCGUGUGGCAAUCUGAAGCUGUAAUGAGUACCGAACUAAAGUAGGGAAGUGUGUGAGCCAGCUGCCAAGAAAAGCCGCUAUUGUUUAUAUCGUACCCGUACCGUAAACCGACACAGGUGGAUGAGGAGAGAAUCCUAAGGCCGACGGGAGAAGCAUUGUUAAGGAACUCGGCAAAAUGACUCCGUAACUUCGGGAGAAGGAGUGCCAGUUAACGCUGGCCGCAGAGAAUUGGUCCAAGCAACUGUUUAGCAAAAACACAGGUCUAUGCAAAACCGAAAGGUGAGGUAUAUGGGCUGACGCCUGCCCGGUGCUGGAAGGUUAAGGGGAGAGGUUAGACGUAAGUCGAAGCUUUGAACUUAAGCCCCAGUAAACGGCGGCCGUAACUAUAACGGUCCUAAGGUAGCGAAAUUCCUUGUCGGGUAAGUUCCGACCCGCACGAAAGGCGUAAUGAUUUGGACACUGUCUCAACAAUGCACCCGGUGAAAUUGAAAUACCAGUGAAGAUGCUGGUUACCUGCGCCAGGACGGAAAGACCCCAUGGAGCUUUACUCCAGCUUGAUACUGGGAUUCGAUAUUGCAUGUACAGGAUAGGUGGGAGACUAAGAAGAUAUGACGCCAGUUGUAUCAGAGUCACUGUUGGGAUACCACCCUUGUAGUAUUGGAUUUCUAACCAACGGCCGUGAUCCGGUCGGGGGACAAUGUCAGGUGGGGAGUUUGACUGGGGCGGUCGCCUCCGAAAGGGUAUCGGAGGCGCUCAAAGGUCCUCUCAGAAUGGUUGGAAACCAUUCGUAGAGUGCAAAGGCAUAAGAGGGCUUGACUGCGACACCGACGGGUGGAGCAGGUAGGAAACUAGGACUUAGUGAUCCGGUGGUAUAAAGUGGGAUUGCCAUCGCUCAACGGAUAAAAGCUACCCUGGGGAUAACAGGCUUAUCACUCCCAAGAGUUCACAUCGACGGAGUGGUUUGGCACCUCGAUGUCGGCUCAUCGCAUCCUGGGGCUGUAGUAGGUCCCAAGGGUUGGGCUGUUCGCCCAUUAAAGCGGUACGCGAGCUGGGUUCAGAACGUCGUGAGACAGUUCGGUCCCUAUCCGGCGUGGGCGUAGGAUAUUUGAGAGGAGCUGACCUUAGUACGAGAGGACCGGGUUGGACUGACCGCUGGUGUAUCUGUUGUUCUACCAAGAGCAUGGCAGAGUAGCCAAGUCGGGACGGGAUAAACGCUGAAGGCAUCUAAGCGUGAAGCCCCCCUCAAGAUGAGAUAUCCCAACGUAAGUUGUAAGACCCCUUGAAGACGACAAGGUAGAUAGGACAGAGGUGGAAGUGCAGUAAUGUAUGGAGCUGACUGUUACUAAUCGGUCGAGGGCAUAACCAA
rnacentral:rRNA from 1 species